CAGCCUGUCAUGCAGCAGCUACUAGCCUGGCACCAUGAUUGAUACCGGGCACAAGGAAUUCUGGUCACCCUUUUUGAAGACUGAGCCUGCCUGGCCCCCCACCAUCCCACCAGAAGGAUGGAAACACACUUCAUUAUCAUGUACAACUCUUUUCAUAUUGUGUGUAAAUGUGCACACGCACACACAUGCACACACACAUACACAUCCUAGUCGUUUAAAAGUACGACCUUCACAUUCAUUAAGGCUAUUUAAGGGGUAUAUUUUAAAUGAAAUGCUAUAUAAUAUUCAAAAUUACCAGAGUAAUGAGUUAACAGGAAAAUUGUCUUUGCAGAAAAACUAUGACUGUGAUUUUCCAAAAUAGGAUUAGAUUGUUCAUGUGUAUUAACCAAAAAUAAAUUCUACUGCUUUGCAGUAGAAACCGCACAACCAGUUUCCAAAAACAGAAAUGCAGGGGCCUGGCAUCUGUGUCUGCACACACAGCAAGUUAGCUCAGAGAUGGGCUGGACCUGCGGCCAGCCACAGAACAGAACCCUCACACGCAGUACUGCAGGCCCCGUCCAGCCACCCCAUGCUGAUUUGCCUGUAGACAUCUCUCGCUCGGAGCUGGUGGACAUUCUCCAGUAAUACAGCACUUAAUUUAAUAAAGGAACUCACCACCUUCAAAUUGCAAUAAAUUUACCAAACAUGUUCACUGUUUAUGGAGAGGUUUACAGUAAGAAAGGGUCGACAGAAGCAGGCACAUCCGUGUACAGAGUGUUCUGUUGGGUGGAUUUUCACUUCCUCCAGCCCCAUAUAUCGGCUGCUUUCAUCCCUGUCCUCCCAGCCUAGGUCCUCGCAGGAAGUCACCCACGCUGGAAGUCACCCUCGCUGGCCGCUCUGUUUUUACCUCUGUUUUUACCGGGCACCUUCGAGCACUGCCCCAGGGAACCAAGGACUCCGCCAAGGUGAAAAGCAGUCGGAGAGCCGACCCAGAACAUGGGUUGUAAACUUUGAAUGGAAUCCGGAUACCAACCACACAGAGGAGAAACGGCGGCGCGGGCCCCUGGCGGCGCGCAGCGCUUAGCAGGCCCGGCCCGACUCCCAGGGGCGCGCGGCCUCGAUGGGAGGCCGGCAGCAGUACGGGUCCCUAAGGCCCUGCGUCCCUGUACCCAGGGUGACCACGGUGACCACAGGGUCUGUCUGCAUGUUCUUCAUUCUCCCGGAGCUCAUGAAAUCAGACAUGGACCGUUCCCUGCAGUGCCUUUCUUCAUGGCAGAUGUGACAGUUCCUCCAUCCUGUGAGCAGCUGUCCUCGCUGGGUGACAGCACAGGGCUGUGCAAGCCUCCCUGGAGCGUGUCACAGAGGUACUCAGAGACGCCCCGGUGUUCUGUUGCAGUUGGGAGUUAUUCUCAGUGCGACGGGGAAACCGGGUUCCAAGCUUGA
rnacentral:lncRNA from 1 species